CGCAAAACAGCGCGAGCGCUGGCUUGACUGUCGUUUUCGAAGUGGAGGCUGGCUUGACUUCAGUGUGACAUGUCAGGCUCUCCAAUUCUCACGCUCCAUAAGGAAAGUCUGCCGUGUCAAACUGGUGGAAGUGGCUGCAUGUUGGCCUUUUCUAAUGGUUGGCCCUCUGUAACACCCACGUGUGCCUGG